GUCAGAUUGCACCUUGAAGGACAUGAGACAUCUAUCCAUGAAGUGUUGAAGUCCCUGGCGGUAUCUGUGAAACUUUGGGGACCAAAAGAGGGAGCGAAGGUACACUUCAUUUUAGUUCUGUUUGGUGCCUUUAUGAUGUGUCGUCAAGGGAUGACCACGACAGACUGAAAAACAGAGAUAUUGUGGGAAAUGACAAAUGCACUUCAGCAACCAAGCGGAAAGCAGAGCAGGUGAUGGGCAUGCAUAGGACGAUGGUCUCUGUAGUUCGUUCUUCCCUGUGCUCUGCUCCACCAUGGCUGAAACAGAACUACACUUCUUGCCUGGAAGACCUAUCUUUUCACACCGUCAGAGGUCCACAACGGUUGCUGCUCGAGCCGACGUCUGGUUCUGCCAGCUGUCUCACUGAUGUCAAUGCGAGCCCGGUGGACGUCAGGUGUCUCCUGGCCAGGUUCCUUUAUUCUUCAUCUUCUUUCUGCAGAUUGCUGUUAUAAUCCUCUGGCAGAAACUUUCUUCAUGUUCCUGAAUCUUGGCUUGUCAUCAAAGGUGAUCUGGCUUUUGCUGUUUUGGCCCCUAAGCUCUGGACCUCCCUGCCAGAUGAUCUAAAAUUAGUUAAUUCUGUGUCUUUUUUUUAUUUCUAUUUUAUUGUA